rnacentral:rRNA from 1 species
AUUGAACGCUGGCGGCAGGCUUAACACAUGCAAGUCGAGCGGUAGCACAGGGGAGCUUGCUCCCUGGGUGGCGAGCGGCGGACGGGUGAGUAAUGUCUGUGAAACUGCCUGAUGGAGGGGGAUAACUACUGGAAACGGUAGCUAAUACCGCAUAACGUCGCAAGACCAAAGAGGGGGACCUUCGGGCCUCUUGCCAUCAGAUGUGCCCAGAUGGGAUUAGCUAGUAGGUGGGGUAAUGGCUCACCUAGGCGACGAUCCCUAGCUGGUCUGAGAGGAUGACCAGCCACACUGGAACUGAGACACGGUCCAGACUCCUACGGGAGGCAGCAGUGGGGAAUAUUGCACAAUGGGCGCAAGCCUGAUGCAGCCAUGCCGCGUGUGUGAAGAAGGCCUUCGGGUUGUAAAGCACUUUCAGCGAGGAGGAAGGUGGUGAGCUUAAUACGUUCAUCAAUUGACGUUACUCGCAGAAGAAGCACCGGCUAACUCCGUG